ACUCCUGCGGAAGGCAGCAGUGGGGAAUUUUGGACAAUGGGCGAAAGCCUGAUCCAGCAAUGCCGCGUGAGUGAAGAAGGCCUUCGGGUUGUAAAGCUCUUUUGUCAGGGAAGAAACGGUGAAAGCUAAUAUCUUUUGCUAAUGACGGUACCUGAAGAAUAAGCACCGGCUAACUACGUGCCAGCAGCCGCGGUAAUACGUAGGGUGCAAGCGUUAAUCGGAAUUACUGGGCGUAAAGCGUGCGCAGGCGGUUUUGUAAGUCUGAUGUGAAAUCCCCGGGCUCAACCUGGGAAUUGCAUUGGAGACUGCAAGGCUAGAAUCUGGCAGAGGGGGGUAGAAUUCCACGUGUAGCAGUGAAAUGCGUAGAUAUGUGGAGGAACACCAAUGGCGAAGGCAGCCCCCUGGGUCAAGAUUGACGCUCAUGCACGAAAGCGUGGGGAGCAAACAGGAUUAGAAACCCCUGUAGUCC
rnacentral:rRNA from 1 species